rnacentral:rRNA from 1 species
AGAGAGCACGAGCCGGAAAUGGAAAAGCCGGUACAAGCGUAUAGCAGUCAUGCAGGCAAAACCGCAUGAAAAAAUGUAAAGCGUUAUGUGGAUCGAACAUUAGUAGAGAAGCGUGUGAGCCAGCUGCCAAGAAAAGCCGCUAUUGUUUCAUAAGUACCCGUACCGUAAACCGACACAGGUGGAUGAGGAGAGAAUCCCAAGGCCGGCGGGAGAAGUGUUGUUAAGGAACUCGGCAAAAUGACUCCGUAACUUCGGGAGAAGGAGUGCCACAGAGAUGUGGCCGCAGAGAAAUGGCCCAAGCAACUGUUUAGCAAAAACACAGGUCUAUGCAAAACCGAAAGGUGAGGUAUAUGGGCUGACGCCUGCCCGGUGCUGGAAGGUUAAGAGGAGAGGUUAGAGCAAUCGAAGCUUUGAAUUUAAGCCCCAGUAAACGGCGGCCGUAACAAUAACGGUCCUAAGGUAGCGAAAUUCCUUGUCGGGUAAGUUCCGACCCGCCGAAAGGCGUAAUGAUUUGGGCACUGUCUCAACAACACACCCGGUGAAAUUGAAAUACCAGUGAAGAUGCUGGUUACCUGCGCCAGGACGGAAAGACCCCAUGGAGCUUUACUCCAGUUUGAUACUGGGAUUCGGUACUGUCUGUACAGGAUAGGUGGGAGGCUAGGAAAUGGUGGCGCCAGUUGCCAUGGAGCCAACCUUGGGAUACCACCCUUACAGUACUGGGUUUCUAACCUGCAGCCGUAACCCGGCUGGGGGACAAUGUCUGACGGGGAGUUUGACUGGGGCGGUCGCCUCCGAAAGAGUAUCGGAGGCGCUCAAAGGUUCCCUCAGAACGGUUGGAAACCGUUCGAAGAGUGCAAAGGCAGAAGGGAGCUUGACUGCGACACCGACGGGUGGAGCAGAUACGAAAGUAGGACUUAGUGAUCCGGUGGUAUAAAGUGGGAUUGCCAUCGCUCAACGGAUAAAAGCUACCCUGGGAUAACAGGCUUAUCACUCCCAAGAGUUCACAUCGACGGAGUGGUUUGGCGCCUCGAUGUCGGCUCAUCGCAUCCUGGAGCUGUAGCAGGUUCCAAGGGUUGGGCUGUUCGCCCAUUAAAGCGGUACGCGAGCUGGGUUCAGAACGUCGUGAGACAGUUCGGUCCCUAUCCGGCGUGGGCGUAGGAUAUUUGAGAGGAGCUGUCCUUAGUACGAGAGGACCGGGAUGGACAAACCUCUGGUGUAUCUGUUGUUUUACCAAAGGCAUGGCAGAGUAGCCAAGUUUGGCAGGGAUAAACGCUGAAGGCAUCUAAGCGUGAAGCCCCCCUCAAGAUAAGAUAUCCCAUCUUCGGAGUAAGACCCCUUGAAGACUACAAGGUUGAUAGGCUUCAGGUGUAAGUGUGGUAACGCACUCAGCUGAGAAGUACUAAUAGGUCGAGGACUUACCAA